rnacentral:tRNA from 1 species
GAAGGUAUAGCUCAGUGGUAGAGUGCAUGCUUAGCGUGUAUGAGGCCCUGGGUUCAGUCCCCAGUACCUCUG